rnacentral:rRNA from 1 species
CAGUCGCCGCGGUAAUACGGAGGGUGCAAGCGUUAUCCGGAUUUAUUGGGUUUAAAGGGUCCGUAGGCGGACUUAUAAGUCAGUGGUGAAAGCCUGUCGCUUAACGAUAGAACUGCCAUUGAUACUGUAAGUCUUGAGUAUAUUUGAGGUAGCUGGAAUAAGUAGUGUAGCGGUGAAAUGCAUAGAUAUUACUUAGAACACCAAUUGCGAAGGCAGGUUACCAAUAUAUAACUGACGCUGAGGGACGAAAGCGUGGGUAGCGAACAGGAUUAGAUACCCCCGUAGUCCCUGUCUCUUAUAA